UCAAAUCAAUAUAGUCCAACUUUGGAUACAUGCCAAAAUCUUCUGAUAUAUUUCCUGUAAAUUGGUUUCCAUCAAGCCUAAGUCUGUAUAAGCUUGUACAGUUCAUCAAGCUUUUAGGGAUAGAACCUGUGAAAAAAUUAUUAUCUACACUAAACCUUUCAAGUAAUCCACCAAGACAUAUAUCUUGUGGUAGAUGACCUGUGAGCAUGUUUUCAUAUGCAUUAAAGAAUUUCAAAUGUGUAACAUUAUUCAAUUCUGGAGGAAUGGAACCAGUGAGGAGAUUUCUCGACAAGGAAAGACCAAUGAGAGACCUUAGCUUCCCUAUCUCUUUCGGGAUAGAGCCUACGAGUAAAUUUUUAGAGAGAUAGAGAAUGGUUAGGUUGCCCAAGCUCCCUAUGAUAGACGGUAUUGAUCCCGUGAGAUUGUUGGCAUACAAAGACAAUUCCUCAAGAGAGUUGAGCAUUCCAAUUUCUUGCGGAAUGGAACCACUAAGUUGGUUCCAAUACAUGAAGCAAAUUCUAAGGUUUAUGAGCAACCCUAUCUCGUGAGGAAUGGUCCCUGUGAGGUGAUUGUGAUGCAUGGAGAGAAUAGUGAGAGAUCUUAGCUUCCCUAUCUCUUUCGGGAUAGAACCUACAAGUAAAUUUUUAUAGAGAUAGAGAACGGUUAGGUUGCCCAAGCUCCAUAUAGUAGACGGUAUUGAUCCAGUGAGAUUGUUGAUUUGCAAAGACAAUUCCUCAAGCGAGCUGAGCAUUCCAAUUUCUUGCGGAAUGGAACCACUGAGUUGGUUCGAAUACAUGUAACAGAGUCUAAGGUUUGUGAGAAACCUUAUCUCGGGGGGAAUAGUCCCAGUGAGGUGAUUUUGCCACAAGAAAAGAUCAGUGAGAGACCUUAGCUUCCCUAUCUCUUUCGGGAUAGAGCCUAUGAGUGAAUUUUUAUAGAGAUUGAGAAUGGUU
rnacentral:lncRNA from 1 species